GUGGGGAAUAUUGGACAAUGGGCGAAAGCCUGAUCCAGCCAUGCCGCGUGUGUGAAGAAGGUCUUCGGAUUGUAAAGCACUUUAAGUUGGGAGGAAGGGCAGUAAGUUAAUACCUUGCUGUUUUGACGUUACCGACAGAAUAAGCACCGGCUAACUUCGUGCCAGCAGCCGCGGUAAUACGAAGGGUGCAAGCGUUAAUCGGAAUUACUGGGCGUAAAGCGCGCGUAGGUGGUUUUGUAAGUUGGAGGUGAAAUCCCCGGGCUCAACCUGGGAACUGCCUCCAAAGCUGCAUGACUAGAGUACGGUAGAGGGUAGUGGAAUUUCCUGUGUAGCGGUGAAAUGCGUAGAUAUAAGAAGGAACACCAGUGGCGAAGGCGACUACCUGGACUGAUACUGACACUGAGGUGCGAAAGCGUGGGGAGCAAACAGGAUUAGAUACCCGGGUAGUCC
rnacentral:rRNA from 1 species